GUAGGUGGCAAGCGUUGUCCGGGAAUUAUUGGGCGUAAAGCGCGCGCAGGCGGUUUCUUAAGUCUGAUGUGAAAGCCCACGGGCUCAACCGUGGAGGGUCAUUGGAAACUGGGGAACUUGAGUGCAGAAGAGGAAAGUGGAAUUCCACGUGUAGCGGUGAAAUGCGUAGAGAUGUGGAGGAACACCAGUGGCGAAGGCGACUUUCUGGUCUGUAACUGACGCUGAGGCGCGAAAGCGUGGGGAGCAAACAGGAUUAGAUACCCUGGUAGUCCACGCCGUAAACGAUGAGUGCUAAGUGUUAGAGGGUUUCCGCCCUUUAGUGCUGCAGCUAACGCAUUAAGCACUCCGCCUGGGGAGUACGGUCGCAAGACUG
rnacentral:rRNA from 1 species